rnacentral:rRNA from 1 species
UGGGGAAUAUUGCACAAUGGGCGAAAGCCUGAUGCAGCGACGCCGCGUGAGGGAUGACGGCCUUCGGGUUGUAAACCUCUUUCAGUAGGGACGAAGCGCAAGUGACGGUACCUGCAGAAGAAGCACCGGCUAACUACGUGCCAGCAGCCGCGGUAAUACGUAGGGUGCGAGCGUUGUCCGGAAUUACUGGGCGUAAAGAGCUCGUAGGCGGUUUGUCACGUCGUCUGUGAAAUCCUAGGGCUUAACCCUGGACGUGCAGGCGAUACGGGCUGACUUGAGUACUACAGGGGAGACUGGAAUUUCUGGUGUAGCGGUGGAAUGCACAGAUAUCAGGAAGAGCACCGAUGGCGAAGGCAGGUCUCUGGGUAGUAACUGACGCUGAGGAGCGAAAGCAUGGGUAGCGAACAGG